GACAGAGGUGCCGAGCGUUAGGCGGAAUCAUUGGGCUUAAAGCGUGUGUAGGCGGAUUUGUAAGUACCUUGUGAAAUCCCACAGCUCAACUGUAGAACUGCUCGGUAUACUGCUUAUCUUGAGCCACUUAGGGGCAGUCGGAACAGACGGUGGAGCGGUGAAAUGCGUAGAUAUCGUCUGGAACGCCAAAGGUGAAAACAGAUUGCUGGGAGUGUGC
rnacentral:rRNA from 1 species